GAUCAAACUAUGCCUAAUAUCCCAUGGAGGAUACACAGUAAACAAGCGCUUGUUCCUGCUGGAGUUCUUGCUUUUUCUUUUAUGAGAACCGCUGAAUAUUGGGCCAUGAAACCAGGGCUGGAAAAACCUUGGAUCACUGCUAUUCUAACUUCCGCGACGCAUAUAAGGCCCUGCCCCGCCCUCCUUUCGGAAAAGCUGACCACGACUCCAUUUUGUUGAUCCCUGCCUACAGACAGAAACUAAAACAAGAAGCUCCCGUGCUGAGGUCUGUUCAACGCUGGUCCGACCAAUCUGAUUCCACACUCCAAGACUGCUUCCAUCACGUGGACUGGGAUAUGUUUCGUAUUGCGUCAGACAACAACAUUGACGAAUACGCUGAUUCGGUGAGCGAGUUCAUUAGAAUGUGCAUUGAAGAUGUCGUUCCCAUAGCAACGAUUAAAACAUUCCCAAACCAGAAACCGUGGAUUGAUGGCAGCAUUCGCGUGAAACUGAAAGCCCGAACCACUGCUUUUAAUCAGGGCAAGGUGACCGGAAACAUGACCGAAUAAAAACAGUGUAACUAUUCCCUCCGCAAGGCAAUCAAACAAGCUAAGCGUCAGUAUAGAGACAAAGUAGAAUCUCAAUUCAACGGCUCAGACACAAGAGGUAGGAGGCUGAAGAAAUUCGGCUUGUCACCAAAAGCACUCACAAACUUCUACAGAUGCAUAAUCGAGAGCAUCAUGUCGGGCUGUAUCACCGCCUGGUACGGCAACUGCUCCGCCCACAACUGUAAGGCUCUCCAGAGGGUAGUGAGGUCUGCACAACGCAUCACCGGAGGCAAACUACCUGCCGUCCAGGACACCUACACCACCCGAUGUCACAGGAAGGCCAUAAAGAUCAUCAAGGACAACAACCACCCGAGCCAUUGCCUGUUCACCCCGCUAUCAAACAGAAGGCGAGAGGUUUGGUGUGUUUUGUGUGCUCGGGACACUUGGUUGCCAUGACGAGGCACUGGCGAGGGACUAAAUGGCCUCAGCUGCCCUCUUCUCCGGGAAUGCAGCCCUCCAUCUGGAGGUCUUCCUCCAGGCAGGGGUCUCUGGUGGUCCGUGGGUCCCUGGACACAACAGGCCCGACUGACUUACAGGCAUCAAAGGUGGCAUCCUUAGAGGAGAAAUCUCUCAGUCUAGUCAGGACCACUUCCAUCAUGAUAGGCUUCAAGUUCUACAAUCUGAGCUAAAAAACAAUCAGUGUCCCUAUAGAAUCUAUGUUUGGUCUAAGCUUCUCUCGGCUGUAGCAAGACACAGCGUUUUCUGGAGAAUUCUUCUCUUUCUGCUUCACUGCUCUCACUUCCUUGUGUCCUCUCUCAUAUCAGUGGUAGUUCUGUACUGGACUGGAAACUUAAGAGGUUCUCCUCUGUUUUCCUCCCCCUCCUCUUUGGGACAGUGGAGUGCCGUCAGUCAUGUGUUAGUAUGAUGCAGCAGGAG
ensembl:lncRNA